UCGGCUUGACAUGCACGUGGUACCAACCUGUAAGGGAAGGGACCCGCGAGGGAGCGUGCACAGAUGCUGCAUGGCUGUCGUCAGCUCGUGCCGUGAGGUGUUGGGUUAAGUCCCGCAACGAGCGCAACCCUUGUCCUUAGUUAACUUCUCUAAGGAGACCGCCGGUCUAAACCGGAGGAAGGUGGGGAUGACGUUUACGUGCACUU
rnacentral:misc_RNA from 1 species